rnacentral:lncRNA from 1 species
UGUCUACAAGGUCAGCCUGCAGACUCUGAAGCUAAACUUUGAAACACAAUUUUUCAAAUUAUGUCGACAGAAUGAGAUUUUCAGCUAUAUUCGUCGAAAAGAAAUGGAAGUAACAGCAAGAAUCAAUUACCCUAACUCUUCUUUUUGAACUUCCUUUGAGCUUUCAGAUCCACUACGAUCAAAGAGAUAUUAUCUGUGCUUCCCCUCCGAAAAGCAAGCUUUGAGAGGUAUUCUGCUGCAUCCUGAGCCGCAGGGUCAACCUCUUCGCCUCUCUCUUUAGACAGGGCGGGACCAUUCCUUUUGUGCCACAGUAGAAUCCGCCUUCGAGCCAAAUCACAUGCCUCCUCAUUUGUCAUUACAUCCCAUAGACCGUCAGUAGCUAGAACAAGGCAAUCGUCUUCUUUUGCUCGAGGAACAAACAUGAUUUCAGGAUCUGCUAUUACGUAGGGUCUCAAAAAUCUAUCCCCUGCAGAUUAAAAACAAAAUUUCAGAAAAAUAAAAAUUUACUUUAAUAAAAUUACAAAACAAUGAGGAUAACAAAGUAACCAUAAUACUUUCUGGCACAGCAUGAUAACUGUCAGCAUUUUGGUUGAAUAUUACAUUCUUGCAAUUAUCUGAUAUUCCACUGAUUUUACAUAUCUCAGUUUAUCAAAAAUGCAAUAGGAUACAGGUGGAUAAUCUAUCAAUACUCUUAUGAUUCAUUUACACAAGUACUUAGGCAUAGGCCAAAAUAUGGAUGAUCACAAAAUAAAGACUUAGAAUUGGAAUCUUCGUAAUAAAUCAGCAUAAGUCGUUUGAUGCUAAAUUCUAAACCAUUUGUGCAUAGUUAUUACUACUAUAAGAAGUCUUGCUAGCCAUCCAUAAUCCAUUCUGUAUACCAUCUUUACUAACAUACCAUAUUCUAGGAAAUUCCUGCAGAGUUUUAGAAAACUAAGUCAGCAAAAUCAAUCUUUUCAAAUACAGAUAUCAACAUACCUAUGGACCUUGAUACUGCAAGCAUUGCACAAACACGAUAGCCCUCCCAAUUAAUGACCUUGCCUCCUGCAGCCUCAAUCCUGAGGUAUUCAUCUUCUCUGUUUGGCUAAAAACAGAAGUAGCAAGACAAAGGAAUUAAAGUUAGUUUUAUACGUUGAUUUUUAGUUUUUAUUUUUUUUUAAAAAGAAGGAGAUAUUUUUUCCCUCAUUUGACAACCUUUAAUUUAAUUUAAUAUAAUUUUUGCUACAGAUUCAUUUUCAACCACACAUUCGCACAAACACGUAAAUCCAUUAAUUUUCUAUCAUUUUCAACUACACAUUCUCUAAAAAAUACUAUUCAAAACUACGUUCUUAAAUUUUUAGGGCCGCCAAAUAGGGGCUUUAUACGAUGACGUACAAUAUUCUACAAGCACAAUCCUAUCCUUGUGUCAUUGUAUAAUUUUUAGAAUACCUCAUCUAAAAUCUUAAACUUUUAGGGAAGGACAAACUUAUUUAUCUAAAUUAUGUCUUCAACAUGCCCCCUAAUUUCGAGCUAGAUCCAUUUUUCUCAUUAAAUGCCUAAUACAUGCACAAUCUUCAUUAAUGGAUGAUGACAAGACUUGAAUUCACAGCCUUUGCCUUAUAUGAUACCAGGUCCAAUCACCUCAUAUAAAAGUUGAAGCUUUUAGAUAGGAGACAACAAACUUAUCUAACUUCAUGUCCUGAAAAUAAUAUGUAUACAGAGAGCAAUAUUCUCUGAG